UUAUUUAUUUAUUUUUUUUUUCUUUUCAACAACUUGUUUCUAUUUCCCUUUUUAGAGAUGUCUGUAGGUUCUUUCUAGCAUUUUGUCGGCCGUAUCAAUGAUUCUGAAUGGGAAAAUAUAGAGCUAUGAAUUGGAACAUCAUUUGCAUCAAAUGCUAAUAAUCUUAAAUGAUUUGUUAAGCAGUUUUCCAGUUGAGGAAUAAUUACGUAAAUUUAGUAAUAGUAACGAAGUACAUAGUAUAUAUUUUAUUAUAUUUUUAUGGAAGCAAUAUUAAAGGAGAUAUUAAAAGAAAAAUGACGCGGGUAUUUAAAAUAAAACGUGGCUAUGCGCUUGCCUUGAGUGAAAUAAGAUUAUCCCUUUGUUAUGAUUUUCACAUACAAAUAUUGGUGCGAAGUUUAUCGAGGAUUACGCUGUGCGUAUACGCGACGAUGAUAUAUUUGUUCGAUGGAUACUAGCUUGAUACGCCUUUGUAUUGUUCUUGUUGAUUUCAGGAAAUUUGUUUUCUGUUUGGACUCGGUAUAAAUGGCAAUGGGAGAUGAUUUUUUUCUGGCAGUACAAUCUUUGAUUUCGACAAUAUUUGGUUGUUCCUUUGCAUGUAUAGGUUUUGUUAAUUAUUCCAAUAAAAAUGCAAUUUUAUUUUAUAAUAAUUAAUAAUGAUUGUAAUUAUUAAUAAAUCACAAUUAUUAAUUGUAAU